GCCGGGUGUGGUGGUGCACGCCUGUAAUCCCAGCCACUUGGGAGGCUGAGACAAGAGAAUCGCUUGAACCCAGGAGGCAGAGAUUGCAAUGAGCCGAGAUCGUGCCAUUGCACUCCACCUAGGUGACAGAGUGAGACUUCGUCUCUC
ensembl:misc_RNA Metazoa_SRP Metazoan signal recognition particle RNA